UUACAUAGAUUAUUUCUUCACUUUGUUGCUGUUGGUAAUAAUGGAGUUCUUGUAGGAACUACUUUUUCUCAAUUCAUCUAAGAUAUAUUAUCCACUCACAUCUCCUCUAUCCAUCCAUCCAUCCAUCCAUCCACCCACCCAUCCAAUAAAUUAUAUAAAAUAUCUGUUCUGGUAAAGGCUUAAGGACCAUUUCCUUAUACUGACCAUUGUACAUAGUUAUACAAGAUGUCACUAUUGGGGGAAAUUGGGGAAAAUAUAUAUGGGACCUUCCCAUACACUGUGUUAUAAAUUCUUGUGAGUCCAUGAUUAUUUCAAAAUAAAAAGUAAAAAAUAAAAAUUCCCUUGAGCACAGUAUCCCUGCAAAUGAUCCCCAUUUUUUUUCUUCCCCUGGAAAAAAAGCCUACUGCAUUCUCUUGCUUCUCUUUCUCCUUAAUUCUAUCACUUACCAUCUCAUUUCCCUCCUACCACUUCAUUCUAAUUAUUUUCCUUGAGAUCUCUGGCAAUGAGUUUGUCUGUUCUCCAUUUUCCAGAGGGAUUUGAUCAUGCAAUGCGUAGUCACCAAAUGCUGUCCUGAAGAACCCUAAUUUGAUUAAAGAUAUUUGAGUAGGAAAAUGGGUAACUGAGUCUGUUAUUCUAAUCAGGAAUAGACUAUGAUUCUCAUUUGCUUAUUAUAAAGUUAUAAAUAGGGAAGCAUCUUAUGUCAUUGGGUAGAAUGCUGCACAUAUUUUUAAAAAGUAGAUUAGCCAUUAUAGAAUUUCUAUUUUCCAGGGCUGUGAGGAUUCAAGAACUAAAACACUGAACAGUAUAGCUUAGAGUUCUCGGAAGAAUGAUGCCAGUGGAACAAAGAACAACACAAUUAAUGCUCUCAGUAACUUACAGUUAUGGCCCUAAAGCAAAAACCAAAGCUGAUAAUUCAAGCCCAGGGUACGAAACUCCAUAAUAACGAUCCUCCAGAGAGGGAGCAAUGGAAGCAAAGUUGUGCCCAAAAUGAUUUAUUCUGAAUCAAAAAGAAAAAGUAAAUGAUUUUUGACUGUGAUAGUUUUUCUCUGUCCAUAAGAACGGGGAUGGUUGACCAUUAUUGGUUGACAGGAAGAAACUGAAGCAAGUUCAAUUUACAAGUUGCUUUUCAAAAAAGUUGGAUAGCCCAGGGAAUUGGAAUAGUUUGUCUACUAUUUGCAGUCACUGUUGGAACUCGGAUACUUAAAAAUACUGGGAAAAGGUGAGGAAAUGAAGUAGUUUUUUAGGCUCUGGUUCAGGAAAGAAAUCUACCCAGACUCUGGAUGUAAUGUCUGAUAGGAAACAGUGUAUUCCCUUGCUGCUUGUGGAAAUGCCACUUGAUAAUGAGUUUUGACCUAAUUUCUUUCCUCAUUGCAGCAUAGUAAUUUAAAUCACUGGAGAUACAUUCUGAAACCUUUAAAAAAAGUUAUUCUUCUGGAUUAAGCAAAAAUAGGCUUCCUAUUCCAAACUGGUCUUAUGCAGCAUCCCAUUCUCAGUACAUUUUGCUUGAGAUUACCAUGGUUUUGACUUAUAAAAUAUUAAACCUUAGACCAGUUGUGUUUUAGGGUUUUCCUGGGACUAAUUUCUGGAUAUGUUACAUAGUAAUGAAAAUUCUAUUAGCAUAUUAUUUGCAGACCAUUUAUAUAUGUUCACCUAGAUUGAUUUUUAUUUUCCCUUCAGGUUCCUUUCACAUUAAACUGUGAUCAAUGGUAUUCUUAAGGCAGUUAUUUCCUGACUGAAAUUUGUCAAAGUUUUCAUUCAUUCAUUCAUUCAUUUUUUUUUCCCAAAUAGCAGAAGGGGAAACAGGACAGAAGCACUGAGCAUUCACACAGUGAAAACGACUAAACCUCUUUAAUGAUUUCUGUUUUUUAUAAACUAUUUUUUAGAAUGUGCAAUGAGAUUCCCAUUUAUUCCCAUUUUCUUUGCUGUGGUCAGCAAGGUCAAAUUUUGUAAAGAGUCUCCAGUUUUAACUUGGAUUCAUUUGGAAGAAAGAAUUUGAAAGGACAAAGAAAGAGCAAAUGGAGAAAUGUCAUCAGAACCAGUGAACAAUGAUUGAUUGGAUUUGAAGUUAAGGGCCGAGUAGCAUAGUAUUGGUGAAGGUCAACAAUGAAGGUACUUGAGCAGAAUUCCUGAACCCAGCCUUGCUGAUUCACUGCCGAUAUAUGGUGAAGCAGGCAUGCUUCACAGGGGAUGGCUGAGUCAGGGGACCCAAGAAGGCAUGUAUUGAGAGUCACGCAGCAGACAGAUAAUGCAGCAGAGUCCAAAGACGGCUCCCAUUCGGCUUCUCUGGUGUUUGAAGCUAACGGAUUGUAUGUCAUUGCUGAAGAACCGGCAGUUCCUGGGGCUGCACAUAUAGGUCAAUCCCAGGAUUCUGGCAUAAUUCGAGAAGUUUCUGCUGGUCUCCACCAUUUCUGGCCAAGGAGACCUCUGGGAGGCCAGUUUAGAAUGACAUGGCCAUUCUUCAGGUUAUGGAUGAAAGGAGACUGCUGGUGACACUAUAACCCGGACAAUACCAAAAACAAUACUGAAAGCAGCUGAUGAUACUGCAUGUCACAGAUGUACCAGCUGAGAUUGGUGGAGGGUAAACAACAAAGCCAAGGUUGCACUGCUGCUGCUAGUAAGGAGCACAGUGAUAUUUUGAUUCCAUGUCUUUGAACUCUAGACCACUCUGUUGCCUUCAUUAAACAGAUGUCUACCGAGUGCCCUCCUGUUUCUUGGCAUAUGUAUGAUAUUUCUCAUCUUGGUGGUUGAGUCAUCUAGUAUAGGACAUAGCCCUGCUCUCAAGAAGCUUGUUUUAUUGUCAGGGACAUAAGAAAUGUCUAAACACAAACUAACCAAAAUGAAAGGCUAUAAGCAAGAUGUGAAAACUUCAUGGGAGGACCCCACCCAGGAAAGUGGAGGAGAGAGGUAAAGGAAUAGGUAGGAAUUUUAACAAGGUAGGCCCAUAUUUUUGGCCAAAAUCACCUGUCCUUUGAAAUAUAAAGCAUGGUUUCAUUCCAUCAGGGCAAACAUGAGGACAGAAGACAUAGCAUUUGCAUGAAUGCUACAGCUAUGCAGCAUUACCGAACUCUACUAUGAUGGGGGUGGAGACUCCACAGAAAAAGUGGGGCUUGCAGGAUGGGUGAAAUCUGCAUAGGUAGUAAGGCAAGAGGAAGAUGUUGAA